rnacentral:rRNA from 1 species
GAUGAACGCUAGCGGCAGGCCUAAUACAUGCAAGUCGAGGGGUAGACGAGUGCUUGCACUUGUUGAGACCGGCGAACGGGUGCGUAACACGUAUGCAACCUACCUUUAACUGGGGGAUAGCCCGGAGAAAUCCGGAUUAAUACCCCAUAAUACUAUAGAAAGGCAUCUUUCAUUAGUUAAAGCUCCGGCGGUUAAAGAUGGGCAUGCGGUCCAUUAGCUUGUUGGUGAGGUAACGGCUCACCAAGGCUACGAUGGAUAGGGGGUCUGAGAGGAUGAUCCCCCACACUGGUACUGAGACACGGACCAGACUCCUACGGGAGGCAGCAGUAGGGAAUUUUGGACAAUGGGCGCAAGCCUGAUCCAGCCAUGCCGCGUGAGUGAAGAAGGCCUGGUUGUAAG